rnacentral:misc_RNA from 1 species
AGGACACUCAUAUUGUGGAACUCUGAGAGUAAAACUACAGCAGUAUGCCAUCAAAUUCCAAAAGCACAAAUCGGGAGGAAACCAAUGCAUAUAAUGUUCCACGUUCCACUGUAUAUCCUGAACCUUGGUGGAAUGGUGCUGUUUAUACUCCUGUUUCCCCUGGGUUGAUGCGGGAAAAUGCAUCAGAUUCAUCAUCAUUGGAACAAUCCGUGGAUGGCCAAUCUCAGUCUGAUGGUGGAAUCAAUGAGGAAGAUGAUGAUGCUCCUGAAAAAUCACAAAGUGUCGUACCUUUGCAUGCAGAUGGGAGUUAUGGGAAGGCGGAUCAGAAUUUUCAGCCAGCUGCUCCAGCCAUACCUCCAAGACUUGAUGGAAGCCUAGCACAGCCCCAGCAGCUUGAACUUGUUGGACACUCUAUUGCGUGUGCUCCAAACCCAUAUGUUGAUCCAUACUAUGGCGGGAUGAUGACAGCUUUUGGCCAGCCUUUGGUUCCUCCUCAUGUACUUGAUAUGCACUAUGCAAGGAUGCCCUUGCCACAAGAAAUGGCUCAAGAACCAGUUUAUGUUAAUGCUAAGCAGUAUCGAAGGAUCCUGCAGCGAAGACAGUCACGUGCUAAAGCAGAACUUGAAAAGAAGCAAAUAAAGGGUAGAAAGCCAUAUCUUCACGAGUCUCGACAUCAGCAUGCACUGAGGAGGGUAAGGGCCUCGGGUGGACGUUUUGCCAAAAAGACAGAUGCUUCUAAGGGUACUGGUUCUGUG